AUCAGAACAUUUUCUCUGUAAACCCUAAACUACAAACGCCGCUUUCAUUCUUUUCAUCUAUCUUUGUGUUUUCUCCUCUCCAUUGAAGCCGCUUCGAUUCUUUCUUUGAGGUAUCCUGCAAUCCUCAACUCGAACCCUAAUUGGUGGUCCAAUUGCUUUUAUUGUUAAUUGUAUGUUAUUAUGAAUAUGAAUUUGGGUUUUGUUGUUUUUUUGAACAAUGGGUUUUGAUAAGAAGAGAGCGACAGACAGAGGUGGUGUCGCAGACAUGGCGACGACCUUUCUGCUCAACUUGCUAGGGUUCCGACACUAUGUUCAUGAGUUCCUUCACUUUGAAGUUUAAGAUCUCUCACUACGUGAAGUUCAUCUGCCCCUCAAUUUUUAGUUUUCUAGCAUCUGGAAGAGGAAGAGAUAUCAGUCCCACAUUUUGAGUUUGCUGUUGGUGAAGGAUCUUAACCAGUGGAAGAUCGACAUCAGGGAUAAGCCUGAAUUAAAGAAGUUUUUUGCCUCCACAAAGUAAACUUACUCAUUGCUAAUAUUCUUGGUGUAUCUUUUGGCAAUAGGGUAAUUAUAACGCAUAUAAACAAGUGGGAAUCCGUAUUAGUUUUGAUUGGUACGCAGGUUUGAUGCUGUUAUACAUUUUGCUGGAUAUAAGGCUGUUGGCGAAAGUGUGCAGAAGCCAUUGAAGUAUUACGACAAAGUUCCCGUCUUGGCUCCGAAUACUCCCCGACAAUUGAACCAUUUCAGCUUUAUCUACCCUUUACAUCCGAAAGCACUGGUGCAAUUCUACAUGAGUUACCAUAGCUUAAUACUUCUGAUACAUGGGCUACACGGCAGACUCUACGUCACAUUGGGUAGAAGCAUUGCAUGAAGUUUCUGGCCGUCGGCAGAAGACAGAGGAAGCUUCUAUGACUACAAAACGAUUAAAGAGUUACUCGAAUCGCGAAAAGCUUCUUCACAGUAUACAUUCGGAAAUAGCGAUGGUUCAGGAAGCAUGUCGACAUUAAAAAGUUGCAUUUUUGCAAAGAAACACAUAACAACUAUUAUCACAACCCUCCAUCGUCUUACUAUGCUUGGUUUGUGCUUGAAUCAUGUCUUUCUUUAAAAGAUGUUCUGAUGCAAAGUCUGAUUAUUAUACAAUUAGCCUACAAGUUGUUAGAGGUAUACUCCACUUUAACUAUGAUAGUAUCUGCCAUAGAAGAACUGCAAGGAAUGACUUUAAAACGACAAUGAAAAAAGGCUUCUCCACAAUUGGAGGAAAAAGUGACACUCUAUUGCUACUCCAUUGAUCUUUAGAAGAUGGUUCCAUGGUCAUGGUUGUUAGAAAAAGUAAACAUUUUACUGUGUAAGUCAUGUCUCACUUAACUGUUUUUAAUGUGUUAUCAUUGUUUCGCUUAGGAUUAUGAUGAUUUAAGUCAUUUUAUUUUUGAGUUGAACCAUAGAUACGUGAUAUUAGUGGUUGAUUAAGGCAUGUUUGUUUGUAGAAGACUAGAUGUUCAAUGUAAUGCCUCAUUGAAUAUAUUUUGUUGACAGUCUUAAGAAUUUGCCAUAUCACGUUGGAAAUUUUCAA